GGCAGCAGCCAGCCAGCAGCAGUCUUGGGUUCCUGAUGCUGCCAUGGGCUCCAGGCUCCUCUGCUGUGUGACUCUCUGCCUCCUGGGAGCAGGCCUGGUGGAUUCUGAAGUCACCCAGACCCCCAAAUACCUGAUCAAAUCAAGAAAGCAGCAAGCGACUCUGAGAUGUUCCCCUGACUCUGGACACAGCUCUGUGAACUGGUACCAACAGGCCCUGGGCCAGGGCCCCCAGUUCCUCGUUCAGUAUUACCGCGGACAAGUUAGUGGAGGAGAAAAUAUGCCAGAUCGACUCUCAGCAAAACAAUUUAGUGACUUUCACUCUGAGCUGAAUUUGAGCUCCUUGGAGCUGACAGACUCAGCCAUGUAUCUCUGUGCCAGCAGCCAAGACACAGCCCUGCAUGAUCAGACGGGAGAUGUAACCGAGGGCUACAGCGUCUCCAGACCAAGCACAGAGGACUUCCCUCUCACACUGGAGUCUGCCAACCGCUCCCAGACAUCUGUGUACUUCUGCGCCAGCAGUUACUCCACAGCGCUGCAGGGUCACCUCCUCUCUGUGCAAAAAGGCAAGGCAGCCCCUUGCUUGUAG